UACGAAGGGGGCUAGCGUUGCUCGGAAUACUGGGCGUAAAGCGUGCGCAGGCGGUUUUGUAAGCCAGAUGUGAAAUCCCCGGGCUUAACCUGGGAACUGCAUUUGGGACUGCAAGGCUUGAGUACGGCAGAGGGGGGUAGAAUUCCUGGUGUAGCAGUGAAAUGCGUAGAUAUCAGGAGGAACACCGGUGGCGAAAGCGGCUUCCUGGCCCGACACUGACGCUCAUGUACGAAAGCGUGGGGAGCAAACAGG
rnacentral:rRNA from 1 species